rnacentral:rRNA from 1 species
GUGCCAGCACCCGCGGUAAUACAGAGGGUGCAAGCGUUAAUCAGAAUUAGUGGGCGUAAAGCGCACGCAGGCGGUCUGUCAAGUCGGAUGUGAAAUCCCCGGGCUCAACCUGGGAACUGCAUUCGAAACUGGCAGGCUAGAGUCUUGUAGAGGGGGGUAGAAUUUCCAGGUGUAGCGGUGAAAUGCGUAGAGAUCUGGAGGAAUACCGGUGGCGAAGGCGGCCCCCUGGACAAAGACUGACGCUCAGGUGCGAAAGCGUGGGGAGCAAACAGGAUUAGAUACCCUGGUAGUCC